rnacentral:snoRNA from 1 species
AUGACCUUCCAAGUUUAAUAAGAAUACGAUGAUUCUAUUUGCGCUUUAAGCCUUACAAUUCUUUCGCAGGUAGUUCGCAAGAACGACUUGUGGUAUUGAUGGGGAAUGCGGUGCCCUCGCAAGCCUUAUAAUCUUGUUACAUUCUAUGAAUGAUUGGGACGCUAUACAUAUAAAAUUCUGAUUCUU